AGCAGAAAUAGAAACUAUAAGGUUGGAUUGAAAAGAAGAAUGUGUCCAGGAAUUGAUUGCAGUUGCAGACCUUUGGCCUUUUUAUUAGGCCUCCCUUUUGCUCUUAUUUCCCUGCUUAUUUCCAUAGUCGGCGUCCUCUUCUGGAUUAUCGGGUUGACGUGUCCAUGUUGCAUAUGUGUGACAGUGUUGGUUGAACUUGGACUGGCGUUGAUUAAGGCUCCUAUUCGUGUCAUGAAGUGGUUUGCUGAUAAGAUCCCUUUUUGACACUCUUUCCAUCACUUUGAGAAAGGGUUAAAUUUGUUGUUGUAUGUAUUAUUCGGAAUAGAAUAAUUUUUGCCCUCUUUUA